rnacentral:rRNA from 1 species
UACGAACUGUGCAAACGUUAUUCGGAAUCACUGGGCUUAAAGGGUGCGUAGGCGGCUGUCUAAGCAGGGUGUGAAAGCCCCCGGCUCAACCGGGGAAUUGCGUUCUGAACUGGACGGCUGGAGUGGGAUAGGGGUGUGUGGAACUUCCGGUGGAGCGGUGAAAUGCGUUGAUAUCGGAAGGAACGCCGGUGGCGAAAGCGACGUGCUGGACCUCUUCUGACGCUGAGGCGCGAAAGCUAGGGGAGCGAACGGG